GGCGAACGCUGGCGGCGUGCUUAACACAUGCGAGUCGAACGGAAAGGCCCAGCUUGCUGGGUGCUCGAGUGGCGAACGGGUGAGUAACACGUGGGUGAUCUGCCCCUAACUUCGGGAUAAGCUUGGGAAACUGGGUCUAAUACCGGAUAGGACAAUCGUUUAGUGUCGGUUGUGGAAAGUUUUUUCGGUUAGGGAUGAGCCCGCGGCCUAUCAGCUUGUUGGUGGGGUAAUGGCCUACCAAGGCGUCGACGGGUAGCCGGCCUGAGAGGGUGGACGGCCACAUUGGGACUGAGAUACGGCCCAGACUCCUACGGGAGGCAGCAGUGGGGAAUAUUGCACAAUGGGCGCAAGCCUGAUGCAGCGACGCCGCGUGGGGGAUGACGGCCUUCGGGUUGUAAACCUCUUUCGACAGGGACGAAGCUUUGGUGACGGUACCUGUAUAAGAAGCACCGGCUAACUACGUG
rnacentral:rRNA from 1 species